UACGUAGGGUGCGAGCGUUAAUCGGAAUUACUGGGCGUAAAGCGUGCGCAGGCGGUUCGUUAUGUCCGAUGUGAAAGCCCCGAGCUCAACUUGGGAAUGGCAUUGGAAACUGGCGGGCUGGAGUGUGGCAGAGGGGGGGUGGAAUUCCACGUGUAGCAGUGAAAUGCGUAGAGAAUGUGGAGGAAACACCGAUGGCGGAAGGCACCCCCCUGGGGCCAACCACUGAC
rnacentral:rRNA from 1 species